GUCGGUGUUUUACUCGCAUGUGUCCCACCUCAUCCCAUUCCGAACUGAGAAGUGAAAGCAUGCGCAACUGAUGAUACUUGUGGGUUCGCCCAUGGGGAAAGUAGGUUAUGCCGACA
rfam:Candidatus Liptonbacteria bacterium RIFCSPLOWO2_01_FTLL_52_25 rifcsplowo2_01_scaffold_1160, whole genome shotgun sequence.